UAAGUAAAACGCCUUAUCGCUCGAAGUUUAGCUUCGGGAGGAAAGUCCGAACACCGUAGUGCAACAUAGUGGCUAAUAACCACCAGCCGUGAGGUUAGGAAAAGUGCAACAGAAAGUAUGUACAGGUCAUGCUGUAGUGAAACCAGGUAAACUCUAUGUGGUGCAAUGCCAUGUAUACCAACGUUUGAGGGCUGCACGCUCGAUUGUUGGAGGGUAGGCAGCUAAAGUGUAUUGGUAACAAUGUACUGAGAUAAAUGAUAAGGGCUUUUUCUUUUUUAAGAAAGAGUACAGAAUUCGGCUUAUAGAUUUACUUAUUUA
rnacentral:RNase_P_RNA from 1 species